rnacentral:lncRNA from 1 species
UAAAAACUUGCAUCAAUUAAAAGCAUAUUCUCUCUCUCUCUCUCUCUCUCUCUCUCUCUCUCUCUCUAACAUUUAACUGCUCACACUUUUCUCUCUAAUAUUUAACUACUCGCACUAUUAUAAAAUUUUGGUCAAUUUACACAAAAAAUCCACUAGUUUCGAGCUUUUACAAAAAGGAGCCAAUUUUUUUGAUUUUGCUGAUUCAGGUCGAAUUUUUCGCCGUCUGACCAAAAUGCCCUUCGUCUCCAUCCACCUCAAUCGUAUUCGCUUAAAUACGUAUACCACAAAGUAUAGUCUAUGGGAGGGCAUUAAAUGCGCCUCGAGCGUGGAUACGCAACCUCCCACUCAUCGAAAUGCGAGCCAAAUCGGUCGUGGUGUUUGCUGUUUGGCUUUUAGAAAUUAAAUAUGUCGAAAAUAUAUGACAAAAAUUAUACAGCCGGCAACAGAAAUAAUAGUGCAACGCGAAGAGAAAUGGUGCAACAAUCCUUCUAACUGUGCAGCUUGCAGGUAGUGUUAGAAAAUUACGUACGGUAAAAUCGCAUCGGAAAUAAAAUUAAACAAAUUUAAUUUUUAAAACUCGAUAUUCGAUCUCAAAAAUCAUGCAAUUAGUAUCUUACAUGUUCUUUAAAAUUAAAGAAGAAAACGAAGAUUCAAUCUUCACCUUUGCACGGGUAGAUUUUCACCACAAUUUGAUGAUCGUGGAAUUAGGUUUUAUUGAAGUUGCACACGCGCACUGCAACAAAAACGGUCUAUAGAGACACUUUUAAAUGCAGGUACAUAUCAAAAAAGUGCUGCUAGCUAAAAUUACCGACACUUUUAAAAAGUGUUGCUAUAUGUGGGGUCGCUAGGUAUAUAGUGACAGUUAAAGAGUGUCGCUAUAACCUAAAAGAGUACUGCUAAUUUACCAACACUUAUUUAAGCAUUUAGCAACCGCCGAAAUUCUAUCUCGUUGGCUGCGGUGGCGGAGGAGGCCGACAGUAAAGGCUCUUCGUCUAUAAUUUCAGUGGAUUGAGUGAAAAGAGAAGAAAAGAUGGUAAUUGAUUUUUCUUUUAUUUUUUUUCUUUCCUGUUUGUAAUCGGGCCAAAUGGACUGGGUGUGGUGGGUUGAGUAGAGUAAUCUUUUAUUUUUUGUUGGAUUGGGCUUUAUAUUUAGAUAUUAGUAGAUAUGUUUUUAAGUUUUAGCAUAAAUGGGACACUUACUCAAAAGUGUCCCAAACAUGUUUCCCUAUAACCUAAUUCUGUUGCAGUGGCGUCUGGCCUCUAUAGUUAUCCACAUAAGGUUGGUAAUUUGAUCGAUAUCCUCACCGUGGUUGUAAGGUAUCGAACUUCUGAAAAUAUGAAGUUACGGUGGGAUGUAAUAUAACGGAUUUUUAAUAUAAAAUAAAUAAAAAUAAAAAUAGUGUGAGAUACUAUUUUUAUUUGACUUAGAGAAGUAAAAUAAAAGUCGAAAAUGACUUGUGCUGCAAUCGGACCUGAAACAGAAGAUUUAGAAUUUUCUUUUGGAAACGGAGCUGAUAUUUUAGCAGAAAAUACACAGUGUCAGAAAAUUAUAAAAACUUGGAAAUAUGUCGGGAUUAUUUUUAUGAGGCUAAAUUUAAAAUUUCAUGUCAAUCCGACAUCCGGAAAGUGAAAAAUAAAAUCCGACUGCUAUCUGAUAGAGAUUACAGUUCGGUAGAGUUUUCGAUGACCAAAUAGGGUCGAAAUUGAAAGAUUAAAAUUUCUUUCGUCAAGUUAAGUAAAAUCGACCCUGAUUGUCAAAUUUGAGCUCAAACGGACAGUCAAAAGGGCAGACGAAAAAUAUCUGAUCCUGAGUUGCUAAACUGAAAUUGUGAUAGUGUUGUGUAGGGGGUUUUGUGUAAUUGUUACAGCCCCUAUUAGGU